rnacentral:pre_miRNA from 1 species
UGCCCUGCCUGUUUUCUUCUUUGUGGUUUUAUGAAAGCGAAGGAGGAAACAGGCAGGCCAG